UACGUAGGCAGCAAGCGUUGUUCGGAGUUACUGGGCGUAAAGGGUGCGUAGGCGGUCUUUUAAGUUCGGUGUGAAAUCUCCCGGCUCAACUGGGAGGGUGCGCCGGAAACUGAGGGACUCGAGUGCGGGAGGGGAGAGCGGAAUUCCUGGUGUAGCGGUGAAAUGCGUAGAUAUCAGGAGGAACACCGGUGGUGCAGACGGCUCUCUGGACCGUAACUGACGCUGAGGCACGAAAGCGUGGGUAGCAAAC
rnacentral:rRNA from 1 species